rnacentral:lncRNA from 1 species
CCUCUUCAGUUGAGGAGGAUCAUCAAAAUUUAAAAGUACUCACCACUUGCAAGAAAUUGGAAGCAAGAUGCAUGAAAAAUAAUCCGGCAUUGAUAUUUGGAUCGAAAAUAGAAAAUGAUCUUGGUUGAGAACUUCUUCGUCGGAUGACGGAUUCGACGAAGAAUUGUUGGAAGAAUUGUUUGAAAAUUAGAGGAGGAGGACAUAUUUUUGGAUUUG